GAUGAACGCUGGCGGCGUGCCUAAUACAUGCAAGUCGAGCGAACAGACGAGGAGCUUGCUCCUUUGACGUUAGCGGCGGACGGGUGAGUAACACGUGGGUAACCUACCUAUAAGACUGGGAUAACUUCGGGAAACCGGAGCUAAUACCGGAUAAUAUUUCGAACCGCAUGGUUCGAUAGUGAAAGAUGGCUCUGCUAUCACUUAUAGAUGGACCUGCGCCGUAUUAGCUAGUUGGUAAGGUAACGGCUUACCAAGGCAACGAUACGUAGCCGACCUGAGAGGGUGAUCGGCCACACUGGAACUGAGACACGGUCCAGACUCCUAAGGGAGGCAGCAGUAGGGAAUCUGCCGCAAUGGGCGAAAGCCUGACGGAGCAACGCCGCGUGAGUGAUGAAGGUCUUCGGAUCGUAAAACUCUGUUAUUAGGGAAGAACAAACGUGUAAGUAACUGUGCACGUCUUGACGGUACCUAAUCAGAAAGCCACGGCUAACUACGUG
rnacentral:rRNA from 1 species